GUCGGCUUACAAAUUUGAUGUUUGGGCUUGGUUAGGAUAUUGUAGGACAAGAAAGGUAGGCUUGAAACAAAGAAAUGAAAAGGGUUGGGUGUGGCAGAAUAGUAGAAGAUAGUAAUGACAGAAAUUUUUUUUCAAUAAAUUUUUCACAACUUUUUUUUCAAUGAAAAGGCUUACAAACUUUUUUUCAAUAAAUUUUUUUUCACAACUUGAUAUCCAAUCUUUUUGAGUUUGAAUGGAAAUAUUUUUUUUAAUUUUUUUUCGAAUUUUUUUUCAAAUUUUUUUCAAAGAAACUACUAUACCGUAAUGCCGAAAGCGUCGAUUCUUACUCCAAAUUUGCUAGCUCUGAUACCAAAUGAUACGAUCUCGUUUUGUGAUUGAUUCGAGUCGUUUGUUUCCCGAUUGUGAAUUUGAGUAAGGUAAGUUCGUUUCUACAAAAUAGAAGAAAGGUUACAAAC
rnacentral:lncRNA from 1 species